UGUGAAUGCCAAUCCCUAUGGAGCCAUUAUGCUCACAAAUAAUAAAGGAGACGAAUUCACCGUAAAUGGCCAAUGAGUAAAGCACUAUUGGGCUAAACCGCCAAAUAUCGAGCCCAUAAACUUAGGCCCCCUUCCAGAUAAUUAGAAAAUUUGAAUAUCGAGUCAAGCUAAAGGACUUAAAAUAAGCGCUGAAUGGGAGGGCAACCCAUUUUUAAUUAUAGCAUUUUUAGAAUUUUUAGGACUUAAAAAAAAUAUAUAU
rnacentral:lncRNA from 1 species